GAUGAACGCUGGCGGCGUGCCUAAUACAUGCAAGUCGAGCGAACGGACGAGAAGCUUGCUUUUCUGAUGUUAGCGGCGGACGGGUGAGUAACACGUGGAUAACCUACCUAUAAGACUGGGAUAACUUCGGGAAACCGGAGCUAAUACCGGAUAAUAUUUUGAACCGCAUGGUUCAAAAGUGAAAGACGGUCUUGCUGUCACUUAUAGAUGGAUCCGCGCUGCAUUAGCUAGUUGGUAAGGUAACGGCUUACCAAGGCAACGAUGCAUAGCCGACCUGAGAGGGUGAUCGGCCACGCUGGAACUGAGACACGGUCCAGACUCCUACGGGAGGCAGCAGUAGGGAAUCUUCCGCAAUGGGCGAAAGCCUGACGGAGCAACGCCGCGUGAGUGAUGAAGGUCUUCGGAUCGUAAAACUCUGUUAUUAGGGAAGAACAUAUGUGUAAGUGACUGUGCACAUCUUGACGGUACCUAAUCAGAAAGCCACGGCUAACUACGUG
rnacentral:rRNA from 1 species